ACUUGAUGGUGAGGGAAUUUACGCAGGAGGUCCCUAAAGCGUUCCCAAGUCUCAAAAAAUUGUUCCCCAUCUAUCUAUGAGAAAGUAGUGAUUUUCUUCCUCAUCU